rnacentral:rRNA from 1 species
GACGAACGCUGGCGGCGUGCUUAACACAUGCAAGUCGAACGGUGACCCUCGGAGCUUGCUUCGGGGUGAACAGUGGCGAACGGGUGAGUAAAACGUGAGUAACCUGCCCCUGACUCUGGAAUAAGCGCUGGAAACGGCGUCUAAUACCGGAUACGACACGCCUCCGCAUGGGGAGCGUGUGGAAAGUUUUUCGGUCUGGGAUGGACUCGCGGCCUAUCAGCGUGUUGGUGAGGUAAUGGCUCACCAAGGCGAUGACGGGUAGCCGGCCUGAGAGGGCGACCGGCCACACUGGGACUGAGACACGGCCCAGACUCCUACGGGAGGCAGCAGUGGGGAAUAUUGCACAAUGGGCGAAAGCCUGAUGCAGCGACGCCGCGUGAGGGAUGACGGCCUUCGGGUUGUAAACCUCUUUCAGCAGGGAAGAAGCGAAAGUGACGGUACCUGCAGAAGAAGCACCGGCUAACUACGUGCCAGCAGCCGCCGCGGUAA